ensembl:ncRNA lncRNA:CR44502 long non-coding RNA:CR44502
GAACUAACCUAAAUUAAACCCAACCCUAAGAAGUAACCCAAGACCGGUGGCAGUCAUUGUGAAACUAUGCUAAACGAUCCAACACUUGACCAAAGAAGAUCACAGCUGAAAAGACGAAGACAAUUUGGUAAACGAAUAUAAAUAUGAGCAUAUGAAAUAUGCCGAUAUGAAGGAAUGUCUGGCAAUCACGUUGGGAUCUGCGGUUUUCGUAUGCGGCUUCCGAAAUGAACCAGCCAGUAUCCCAACCAUGAUCCCUUUGUGGGUAACAGGGAUCUUCAGAUUCACGGAUUCAUGGCUCCACCUUAACUCAUUAAAGGCGAACGUGCCACAAUUAUGUGUGCGUUUGCAAAUUGCUCAAUUGCCCGGCUGACCACCACCGAACCACCAACUAAAGAACUGGAGAUCCCAACCAAACCACUGGACCACCGCAAACGCGAGCAGAAAUAUUUGCAUUUUGCCUGGCACCGCUUAUACAAUUUAUUUGCAAUUUUCAAUCAAGUCGUGGCCAGAACAAACAAUACAACGGAAAAAUGUUGGAAAAAACGAAACCAAAAUUGAUUACUUUGCAGCAUUGCGGUUAC